AAAGAUCGCAGCCUUCGGCAGCUCCUACACAGGAUUUGCGUUCAUUCUGCAGGAGCUGCCGAAGGCUGCGAUCUUU
rnacentral:misc_RNA from 1 species